GUCCUAUAUAGAUGUAUCAACGCAAGACAGUUGAGCAUCUCCCUUUAGGAUGUUGUUUAUCCAGAAGCUUCAGCGACAAUCUUUAUUGUGUAGCUGCAUAAGUUGAAAUAAAGUGAGUUGAAGUGGAACAGGUUAAUCGUAAGACCUUGAGUUGAAAAACUCUAAAAUUAACCUAGAAAUAUAAUUUCGUAUUUUCUAGUUGCGAUCCC
rnacentral:sRNA from 12 species